AAGCCAUGAGAGACUCAUACAUAUGUGAUAAGGAGGAACUGAUCAGCAUUGUGGAUGUGGCCAUGACAGAACCUGCUUCCUGGCUGACGCAGGUGUCAGCUGUCGUUAGCUGCAUCUAUUAACAACCUGGAGCACAUCUACACACCAGAAGCCUGGCAUAGCCUGGACUUGCUGCUUCUAAAGAUGGCAGAACUGUGGCCAGCGGAUGUGACCCUGAGACUUGUGGAUCUCUCUCCAGAAUGUGACAGUAUUGCUGUGACCAUGUGGGAAGUGCUGUUCUCCGAUCCCCUCAUCUUGGAGAACGUCCUGAGGCAGCUGAACACGAGGUUCCAGCACGUGAGUGUGCGAUGGAGAUUCAGCUCCCAGAAAGUGGAGGCCUGCAUCCAGCUCUUGGCUCUGCUGGCCUCCAGCCAUGUGACACCAAGAAUGUUUGCUGGGGUGUACAGGCUCCGGGAGCCGCUGGUGCCUCCAAGGCUGCUCUCACUGCUGCUCCAAGGCCUCAUCACACUAUCACAGUCACCUGACAUGGCAGAGAAAAUACUGAUCAUGCUGCCGGACUUGAUGAAGACCCUGCAGAGUACCUACAGAGACAAGAUGAGGGCCCUGGUCGUAUUCAGAAACGUGACAGAUCAUUUGAAGAAGAAGGCCAGCUCCAUCGUCCUGGACCUGGCCGAGAUGCUCGUUCCACUCUUUGAUGAUGAGUGCAGCCACAUACAAGAGCUCUCCAUCUGCCUCUUCAAAGAUAUAAUACAGUUGGUGGACUGGAAGGACAAGCGGAAGAUGCAGAAGAAGGUGCAGACGAGCCUGGUCCCACUCAUGUUGCACAUGAGUGACGAGAUUGAGAGCGUGGCCCAGGCCUCUAAGGAAGCCCUCUCUGCAGCUGCAAAGGUCCUCAAAUGGAAUUGGCUCAGUCACCACCUGCAGACAUCGGAGAGAUGGAGAACUAUGGAGUGCUUGCUGGAGCAGGAGCCCAGCAGGGCUGAGGAGUAUAUGCGUCAGAGCCUGCUUUACCUGCAGCACUCUCAGGUCAGCGUGAGACUGGCCGCCCUGAGGUUCAUCGGUAAGCCGCAGCCCCUGGGGUCCCUCUUUUGGCAGCCUGGCCCCAGUCCCAUCUGCUGCAGUGGCAGCGAGGAGCAGCCCUGUGGCUGUCAGAGCAUCGACUGCCCCGUGCAGGGCCUGUGCAGCCAGAGGCUCCGUGCUUCCCCCUCCAACCCCUGCC
rnacentral:lncRNA from 14 species